rnacentral:rRNA from 1 species
UACGUAGGGUGCGAGCGUUAAUCGGAAUUACUGGGCGUAAAGCGUGCGCAGGCGGUUUUGUAAGCCAGAUGUGAAAUCCCCGGGCUUAACCUGGGAAUGGCAUUUGGGACUGCAAGCUUGAGUGCGGCAGAGGAGACUGGAAUUCCUGGUGUAGCAGUGAAAUGCGUAGAUAUCAGGAGGAACACCGAUGGCGAAGGCAGGUCUCUGGGCUGACACUGACGCUCAUGCACGAAAGCGUGGGGAGCAAACAGG